rnacentral:lncRNA from 1 species
CAGGAUUAAUGGCUUCUUAAGACCAAGGGCUAUCUAUGUAAAAUGGUUAGAUUGGCUCUAUCCCUCAUUGCCUUUGUAUGUGACCUCUAAUAAAAUUGUCUUCUGCAAAGGCUGACCCACAGAAGAGAAACACCAUCACCAAGGUGGAAGAGCCUGUGUAGGAGGAGUGCUAAGCAGAAGGGGAGAAAACGAGAAGAUUACAGGGAGCCACCUGCCUUCUGCAGAACCCUCAACUGCAUCCACAGAGAACAUCAUUUCAGAGCUUCAUGACAGGUCUAAGUCUGCCUCCCUCUGAGGCCUGAGUU